rnacentral:rRNA from 1 species
GACGAACGCUGGCGGUGUGCUUAACACAUGCAAGUGGUGCGACAAGCCAGGCUUCGGCCUGGGGCAAAGCCGCGAACGGGUGAGUAACACGUGGGUAAUCUGCCCCGAUGACCGGGACAACCCGAGGAACUCGGUCUAAUACCGGAUGUGGUGCCCAGACAUAAGUCUGGUCACUAAAGGUAGCUUCGGCUUCCGCAUUGGGAGGGGCCCCGCGGCCCAUUAGCUUGUUGGUGGGUCAAAGGCCUACCAAGGCAACGAUGGUAGCUGGUCUGAGAGGACGAUCAGCCACACUGGGACUGAGACACGGCCCAGACUCCUACGGGAGGCAGCAGUGGGGAAUCUUGCGCAAUGCGCGAAAGCGUGACGCAGCAACAACCGCGUGA